AUGAUAGUAAUGGAUAUAUCUACAGAGAGCUUUUUAAAUGGUCAUAUUUUUAUAUCAGGACUUUUUUUCAGAAAAGGAAUAUCCCUGACUCAUCUUGCUCCUGUACCUCACCUACCAGCACACAGGAGCCCACCCUUUCUGCUGCUGGUAUCGAGGACAUCCAGGAAUGAAGAAAUCUUGAUGUUGUGCUCUCCUUUUGAUCUCCAAGAUGUGUCCCUUUGUCCCUUUGUCAGCAUGCUGCUUCGUACAACAGCUGCUGUUUUCAGCCAUCCCUACUGAGAGAGAACAACACUGUUUCCUGUUGAUAUAGCUCCUUUGCUCUAAAUCAAAGAAUCAUCGUCUCCAGAAACUGCAGUUGCUCCAAAAUGCACAGCAAAUAUUUCGUGACUGUUCUCCAAACAAGUCUUCAAGAAAAUGUAAACGUUUCUGGAUUUUUUUGUUUUGCCCCUUGUAUUUUUUAAAAAGAUUUCUUUAUUUUAGAGAGCAUGUGCCCGUGCACCUGAGGAGGGCAAGGGGCAGGGGGAGAGGGAGAAAAAUCUUCACACAGACUCCCCACUGAGAGCAGAGCCCAACCCAACAUGGGGCUCAAUCCCGGGACCCUCAGAUCCUGUCCUGAGCUGAAAUCAAGAGUCGGAUGCUCAAUGAACUGAGCCACCCAGGGCCCCCUUGGCCGUUAUAUUUUAUUUAACCAUAGAAUGCAAAAGCUUUUGGUGAACUAGUUCUCAAAUAUCAUUUUGUUGAGCAUAAAAAUCAUUCAAAAGAAUAAUCAUAAGAAAAUCAAUUUGAAAUCAGCAUGUUUCACACUUACAUGAAUAAAGGGCCCUAAGAAAAUAGUGCGUGUGAGUUU
rnacentral:lncRNA from 12 species